rnacentral:rRNA from 1 species
GAUGAACGCUGGCGGCGUGCCUAAUACAUGCAAGUCGAGCGAACAGGCGAGGAGCUUGCUCCUCUGACGUUAGCGGCGGACGGGUGAGUAACACGUGGAUAACCUACCUAUAAGACUGGGAUAACUUCGGGAAACCGGAGCUAAUACCGGAUAAUAUAUUGAACCGCAUGGUUCAAUAGUGAAAGACGGUUUUGCUGUCACUUAUAGAUGGAUCCGCGCCGCAUUAGCUAGUUGGUAAGGUAACGGCUUACCAAGGCAACGAUGCGUAGCCGACCUGAGAGGGUGGUCGGCCACACUGGAACUGAGACACGGUCCAGACUCCUACGGGAGGCAGCAGUAGGGAAUCUUCCGCAAUGGGCGAAAGCUUGACGGAGCAACGCCGCGUGAGUGAUGAAGGUCUUCGGAUCGUAAAACUCUGUUAUUAGGGAAGAACAAAUGUGUAAGUAACUAUGCACGUCUUGACGGUACCUAAUCAGAAAGCCACGGCUAACUACGUG